rnacentral:rRNA from 1 species
GUCUACGCUGUAAACUAUGUACACUUGGUGUUGGGCCGUUUAGGUUCAGUGCCGUAGCUAACGCGAUAAGUGUACCGCCUGGGGAGUAUGCCCGCAAGGGUGAAACUCAAAGGAAUUUACGGGGGCCCGCACAAGCGGUGGAGCAUGUGGUUUAAUUCGAUGGUACGCGAGGAACCUUACCAGGGUUUGACAUAUGGAGGAAUAGGUCAGAGAUGAUCUAGCCCGCAAGGGUCUCUAUACAGGUGCUGCAUGGCUGUCGU